rnacentral:sRNA from 2 species
CGCCCGUCAAACCAUGGGAGCUGGUAAUGCCCGAAGUCGGUUUAUUAACAAACUGCCUAAGGCAGGACUGGUGACUGGGGUUAAGUCGUAACAAGGUAUCCCUACGAGAACGUGGGGAUGGAUCACCUCCUUUCUACGGAGUACAACAGUCUUUUUAUUUUAAAAGACAUUAACCUUAAUUUACUAGACCUACUUAUAUAAUAAUUGUCAUGUGCUUUUUUAGGUCUAAAAGCUUUAUAUCUAGUUUUGAGAGAACAAAACUCUCAAAAUUGUUCUUUGAAAACUGAAUAGUAAAUUAUUUUAAAAUAUUUACAACGACAUCAAAUAAAUUAAUUUUGGUUAAUUUGUUUUGAUUCAUCGAGUAAUCAUAUAACACAUAUGAUUCAUUGAAAUGUCUUAAAAUACACAUCAACAAAACUAAAACAAUAGGAAAAUACUUUUAAAUAAGGAAGAGUUUGUGGUGGAUGCCUUGGGUCUGGAAGUCGAUGAAGGACGUGAUUACCUGCGAUAAGCCUCGUGGAGCCGGAUAUGUGCUAUGAAACGGGGAUUUCCGAAUGGGGAAACCUAGCUAGGGUAAUGCCUAGCUGCCUUAAUCUGAAUACAUAGGAUUAAGAGUGAGACACCAUGUGAACUGAAACAUCUUAGUAGCAUGAGGAACAGAAAAUAAAUAAUGAUUUCUUUAGUAGCGGCGAGCGAACGAGAAAGAGCCCAAACCACUUUUAAGUGGGGUUGUAGGACGAUCUACAUAGAGUUACAAAAUUUAAUGAUAGCAGAAGCUUUUGGGAAGAAGCGACAUAGAGGGUGAUAUCCCCGUAUGCAAAAUUGUUAAAUCUCUUGAUCGUACCCUGAGUAGGGCGGGGCACGUGAAACCCUGUCUGAAUCUGCCGGGACCACCCGGUAAGGCUAAAUACUAACCAGACACCGAUAGUGAACUA